rnacentral:rRNA from 1 species
AUGUGUCGCCUCGAUCGUUCGAUUCAACCGCAGCUGCACUGCACUGCCCCUCCUCCGCCGCCUGUGACGCACAUUGUUGCGUCGCAUGCCCGCAUCCGCCAUCGGCAGCAUCGACGAUCUGUCAUCUUGGAUCUAGCAGAUCGAUCUCCCCGCGCCUAUUCGCUGCUUUGCCUCCAAUUGAGAAACGGCGGCCGCAGCGGCAGCACCGACGCACACAUAUCAGCCACCGAUUCCUGUGAUUGUUUUUUUCGACAUCCAGUAAAUUUUGAGUGUGGUUUGCAUUGGCUUGCUGGAAAACUUGUGAAGCAGUACAGAGAAAACAAGGUGAAUCUCGAUUCAUGCAUAUAA